UUUUAUGGCGGGCCAUGGUGGGAGCCUCUUUUGAGGCGCCGGGAAGGAAGCCGGUAACGCCAAUCCCGCCAUGCGCCUGCCACCCGC
rnacentral:antisense_RNA from 1 species